rnacentral:lncRNA from 1 species
AUGGGGGAUGCAGGAGAGGGUAGAGGGUUGAUAGAGCUAUGGGGGGUCCCAGCCCCAUGGCAGGUACAGGAGGGGUCGUGCAGAGUCCCAGCCCCAUGGGGGAUGAAGGAAGGGUCCCAGCCACAUGGGGGGGAUGCAGGAGGGGUCCCAGCCCCAGGGGGGGUACAGGAGGGGCCAUGCAGGGUCCCAGCUCAACAGGGGGUGACGGAGCCACACAGGGUCCCAGCCCCGCAGGGGGAAUGCAGGAGGGGUCCCAGCCCCAUGGGGGUCACAGGAGGGGUGGGCGCUGCCGCCCCUCACCUUUCUUGGGCAGCCCGCGGCCCUUGCCCAUGCGGGACCUGCGGUCAUGCGCCCGGCCCUUGGGGCUGCCAGGCUCGGUGCCGGGCUCGGUGCCCUCGGAGAGCGACUCACGGGCUGAGUCCCGGGAUGAGGUUCGCCGCAGCCGCCGCUUGGCCUUGGCCUUCAGCCGAGCCUCGUGCAGCAGCUUCUCCUGGGGGGUCCAGGUGCGAGGACCCCCAGCCCCCAGCAGCUCCUCAUCCCUGUCCUCCUCCUCCUCCGCAGCUGCCAGGCAGGGGCCCUGCACACCGUGGGCACUGUCACCGUGCACUGGGACACCAUGGCACACUGGGACACCCCAAGAGACCCCUACUGUGCACCCCCUGGCCUCUCCUGGGACCGCUGCCAUACACCCCCAGGCCUCCUCUGGGACCACCACCAUGCAGCCGCCAGCCUCUUCUAGGACCCCCACAGACCCCCAGCCUCCUCCUGGGACCUCCAUGGGACCCCCACCAUGCAUCUGUCAGCCUUUCCUUGGACCCCCACGGACUCUUGGACUCUCCUAUGACCCCUAUAUACCCCGAGUCUCCCCCCAGGAACCCCACCGUGCACCCCUCAGCCUCCCCUGGGACCCCCACUGUGCACCCCCUAGCCUCUUCUAGGACCCCCAUGGACCCCCAGCACCCCCAUGGGGCCCCCACCAUGCAUCCGUCAGCCUUUUCCUAG